rnacentral:lncRNA from 1 species
CGACGUCGAUCGCCGAAUGCCGCCCGAACAAGGAGAGGGACCGACUUCGGCGAGGGUCGUGACAGGAUUUCCCAAUGUCAUUGGAGCAAUUGACUGCACCCACAUCGCAAUAAAAGCACCAUCAAUGAAUGAAUUCAACUUCGUCAACAGAAAAGGUUUCCAUUCUGUUAAUGUGCAGGUCAUCUGUGAUUCACAUUUGGCUUUGUUGAAUGUAGUGGGCAAAUGGCCAGGUGGGACACGAACAGUUCAGUUGGCCUUAACCUCCAGGAAGGAGCUGUUGAGGACGGAUGGCUUAUUGGAGACCGGAGUUACCCGUUAAAAACAUGGCUGAUGACUCCCCUCACAAACUCCUCAAACCAACAAGAGUCAAGGCUUGCUACAUUGUCAAGGCUUGGAGUGUAUUCCACAACAUUGCAAUCAAAAAUGGCAUUCCACUGAAUCAUCCACCCAGACCCGAUGAGCCCAUGCCUGACAGGGAGUUUUUUCCACCACCCAUAGCUCUGGCACUGAGGACAAGAGUCAAUAUCAUACAACAGUUUUAGAUAUCUGUUCUUCCAAAUAUUGACUGCGUCAGUCAAAACAUGUGGCACAGCUGAAUUGCUCCACAAAAAGGAUACCCUUCUGGUAGGCCUGGGACUGAGGGAUCAGGCAAAUCACCCACAUCUGUCAAGAGUUCAUGUUUUGUUAUUUUUGUAAUAUUCAUUUUGUUACAUUUAUUUUGUUAUAUAUAUUUCUUAUAUUUAUUGUCAACAAAAAUUAUUUACAUGUGGUCCAUGUCUGAAUAUGGUUGCAAAAAUAAAGCUUGACUUUUUAAAUUUCAUUAACUGUUCUGCACUCAGAUGAGGCAGAAUUUACCACAGCUCAAGCCUGCUCCCAAGCAAUAUUUUGUCUCUUAUUUGUCAAGCCAUUGCUGAGGGCACCAAAAAGUAUGGCUUGUUUUGCUUCCACUUCAGUGAUCAAAAGUUAUAUUUCUGUGUCCUAAAAAAGUUUUUUUUCUUUGUCUUCUUUGAUUUCUCCAUGUUGGUGGACAGAAAUUAGUGACAUUUCUUGCAGCUUUAAAGGGAAGGUUUGUGACCAGAAAUGGUAAUUUAGUGCGG